rnacentral:rRNA from 1 species
GAUGAACGCUGGCGGCGUGCUUAACACAUGCAAGUCGAACGAGAACGGGUUAUAGCUUGCUAUAAUUGUCAGCUAAGUGGCGCACGGGUGAGUAAUGUAUAGGUAAUAUGCCUCUUACUAAGGGAUAACAAAUGGAAACGUUUGCUAAUACCUUAUACUCCUUAUUAACAUAAGUUAAUAAGGAAAAGAUUUAUUGGUAAGAGAUUAGCCUGUAUUGUAUCAGUUAGUUGGUGGGGUAAUGGCUUACCAAGACUAUGACACAUAACUGGUUUGAGAGGAUGAUCGGUCACACUGGAACUGAGACACGGUCCAGACUCCUACGGGAGGCAGCAGUGGGGAAUAUUGUACAAUGGACGAAAGUCUGAUGCAGCAACGCCGCGUGGAGGAUGACACAUUUCGGUGCGUAAACUCCUUUUACAUGAGAAGAUAAUGACGGUAUUAUAUGAAUAAGCACCGGCUAACUCCGUGCCAGCAGCCGCCGUAA